rnacentral:rRNA from 1 species
UACGGGAGGCAGCAGUGGGGAAUAUUGCACAAUGGGCGCAAGCCUGAUGCAGCCAUGCCGCGUGUAUGAAAAAGGCCUUCGGGUUGUAAAGUACUUUCAGUCGUGAGGAGGUGUUAAGGUUAAUAACCUUAGCAAUUGACGUUAGCGACAGAAGAAGCACCGGCUAACUCCGUGCCAGCAGCCGCGGCAAUACGGAGGGUGCGAGCGUUAAUCGGAAUUACUGGGCGUAAAGGGCACGCAGGCGGUUAAUUAAGUUGGAUGUGAAAUCCCCGGGCUUAACCUGGGAAUGGCAUUCAAGCUGGUUAGCUAGAGUCUUGUAGAGGGGGUAGAAUUCCAUGUGUAGCGGUGAAAUGCGUAGAGAUGUGGAGGAAUACCGGUGGCGAAGGCGGCCCCUGGACAAAGGACUGACGCUCAUGUGCGAAAGCGUGGGGAGCAAAC